rnacentral:rRNA from 1 species
GAUGAACGCUGGCGGCGUGCCUAAUACAUGCAAGUCGAGCGAACGGACGAGAAGCUUGCUUCUCUGAUGUUAGCGGCGGACGGGUGAGUAAAACGUGGAUAACCUACCUAUAAGACUGGGAUAACUUCGGGAAACCGGUGCUAAUACCGGAUAAUAUUUUGAACCGCAUGGUUCAAAAGUGAAAGACGGUCUUGCUGUCACUUAUAGAUGGAUCCGCGCUGCAUUAGCUAGUUGGUAAGGUAACGGCUUACUAAGGCAACGAUGCAUAGCCGACCUGAGAGGGGGUUGGGCCACACUGGGAGUGAGAGGCGAUCCUGACUCCUAGAGGAGGCCGCAGUAGGGAAUCUUCCGCGAUGGGCGGAAGCCUGCAGGAGCGGCGCAGCGUGAAUGAUGAAGGUCCUCGGAUCGUAAGACUCUGUUAUUAGGGAAGAACAUAUGUGUAAGUAACUGUGCACAUCUUGACGGUACCUAAUCAGAAAGCCACGGCUAACUACGUG